CCACGCCGCCCCCCUCGCGCCCCCCGGGCCCCCUGACCCAUCUCCGAGGGUAUCUGGGCCAGGUGGGCUCGGCGGCCGAGAACCUCCUGGAGCGCCUCAGCCUCCCCGCGGCCCAGCAGCGGAUCCGGGUCGCGUACGAACAGGGCUCGGCGGCCGUGGUCACCUACACCGGGAUCCUCACGGACCAGCUCUACCACUGGUGGCAGGGGGACCACUGACCCCCCCAAAAUUGGGGGGCGUGGGGGGGACGCCCCCCCAUGUGUGUGUGUGUCCCCCCGGUGUGUGUCCCCUCCUCAAUAAAGGCACCAGCUCGGGGGGGCU